UCUCUUUUCUUUUUCAUUUUCACACAAAUAAAAACACUUCUCUCUUACACUCCCUCACUUUCCCACCAACACCCCACUCCUCACCACCUCCACCAUCUUUUCCGGAAGUUUACCGGAAAACCCCAUAGUAAUAAGCCAAGGUUCACACAUCUAUAUUAUUUGAGGUUCUAGCCAAUCUCCUUUGGAGCUUGGAAAAGUAGGUUUUUUGCGGGUUGCAAGCCAAGUUGGAGGCUCCCACUUUGCAUGAAACGGGUUAAUCCUUGAGUGUGUGGAUGAGGCUACUACCCAUUGGGCCAAAAGACCACAUGCAAAAGAGGUACUGUGUGACACGUCAUUCCCUGCUACCCAUGGGGAGAAAAGGUAAAUCCUUGAGUGUGUGGGUAAGGCUAGGCAGGACCAAGAGACCAUAUGCAAAAGAGGUACUACAUGGCGCGUUAUCCCCUGCUACCCAUGGGGGGAUAGGUAAAUCCUUGAAAGUGUGGGUGAGGCUAGGUAGGACCAAUAGACCACAUGCAAAAAGAGGUACAUAUCAUGCUAGUGUGUUUGGGUUCCGACCUAUUUGUGGCGGUAUGAUGUCUUUGUGACAUUUCCAUCUUUAUGGCACCUUGGGUGAGGUUUUUGGUUUUGAAAUAAUAUUGGAUAUUUUCUAGCUCACAACAAAUAAUAUGUAGUUUUAUAGUUAUUUUGGGAAGCUUGAUACUAAAUUAUUUCUAUCAUUCUUGACAUGUUGUUAAUGAAAUUUAUUUUGCAUAAUUUAAAUAGAGAUUCCCAAAUUAUAGCAUGUUUUGUAAAAUGAUUAUUAUCAUGAAACUUGCAUUUCCCUAAUUAUGCUACUUACUAGGCUUUAACUCAUCCCACCCUCUAACAGUUUUUCAGAUUAAUUAGUUAUACCUUCGAUAUGGAGCUUACUUCAUUGGUGAUGAUUGGAGUGCUACGUUAAAUUUGGAGACUUCUGCUAUAAAUUGUUGGUGACUUGAUCUUGCUAUGUUCAACGAGGCCUUAAUUAAUUUUAUUAGAGGUUGGUCGCUUGAGGUUUGUUAGCCUUAGGCAUGGUAGGCCUAGAAUCGAUGUUAAGGUUCCUUAUUCUUGGUAAGAUUGUGAGUUUGUGUAAUCCAAUUAGAGUUUUGCAAUAUAUUCAUGUAUUAUGCGGAGGCACAUGAUUUUUUAUUAUUGUCCAUAAAUGUGUUAUAGAGCUCUAACUUGUA